rnacentral:tRNA from 1 species
AGGAUGAUAGUUAAAUUUUUAUAACAUUUGACUUGCAUUCAAAAAUUAUUAAUUAAAUUAAUUUAUCUUA